UACGUAGGCAGCGAGCGUUGUUCGGAAUUACUGGGCGUAAAGGGCGCGUAGGUGGCGGGACAAGCGUGCGGUGAAAGCUCGGGGCUCAACCCCGAGUCGGCCGUGCGAACUGUUUUGCUUGAGCACUGUAGAGGCAGGCGGAAUUCCGGGUGUAGCGGUGGAAUGCGUAGAGAUCCGGAAGAACACCGGUGGUGAAGGCGGCCUGCUGGGCAGUAGCUGACACUGAGGCGCGACAGCGUGGGGAGCAAACAGG
rnacentral:rRNA from 1 species